rnacentral:rRNA from 1 species
UACGAAGGGGGCUAGCGUUGUUCGGAAUUACUGGGCGUAAAGCGCGUGUAGGCGGUUGUUUAAGUCAGGUGUGAAAGCCUUGAGCUCAACUCAAGAAAUGCACUUGAUACUGGAUGACUAGAGGACCGGAGAGGAUAGUGGAAUUCCCAGUGUAGUGGUGAAAUACGUAGAGAUUGGGAAGAACACCAGUGGCGAAGGCGGCUAUCUGGACGGUUUCUGACGCUAAGACGCGAAAGCGUGGGGAGCAAACAGG